rnacentral:rRNA from 1 species
AACGAACGCUGGCGGCAUGCCUAACACAUGCAAGUCGAACGAGACCUUCGGGUCUAGUGGCGCACGGGUGCGUAACGCGUGGGAACCUGCCCUUAGGUUCGGAAUAACUCCCCGAAAGGGGUGCUAAUACCGGAUAAUGUCUUCGGACCAAAGAUUUAUCGCCUUUGGAUGGGCCCGCGUUGGAUUAGCUAGUUGGUAGGGUAAAAGCCUACCAAGGCGACGAUCCAUAGCUGGUCUGAGAGGAUGAUCAGCCACACUGGGACUGAGACACGGCCCAGACUCCUACGGGAGGCAGCAGUGGGGAAUAUGGGACGAUGGGCGAAAGCCUGAUCCAGCAAUGCCGCGUGAGUGAUGAAGGCCUUAGGGUUGUAAAGCUCUUUUACCCGGGAUGAUAAUGACAGUACCGUGAGAAUAAGCACCGGCUAACUCCGUG